UACGGAGGUGGCGAGCGUUACUCGGAAUCAUUGGGUGUAAAGGGCAGGUAGGCGGUCUAUUAAGUGAGGGGUGAAAUCUCCCGGCUCAAUCGGGAAACUGCCUUUCAAACUGAUAGACUUGAGUGUGAUAGGGGGAAGCGGAAUUAGCAGUGUAAGGGUGAAAUCUGUAGAUAUUGCUAAGAACACCAGCGGCGAAGGCGGCUUCCUGGAUCACAACUGACGCUGAUCUGCGAAAGCUAGGGGAGCAAACAGA
rnacentral:rRNA from 1 species